ACGUAGGGUGCGAGCGUUAAUCGGAAUUACUGGGCGUAAAGCGUGCGCAGGCGGCUAUGCAAGACAGGUGUGAAAUCCCCGGGCUUAACCUGGGAACUGCACUUGUGACUGCAUGGCUAGAGUGCGUCAGAGGGAGGUGGAAUUCCGCGUGUAGCAGUGAAAUGCGUAGAGAUGCGGAGGAACACCGAUGGCGAAGGCGACUUGCCGGGCCUGAACUGACGCUCAGACGCGAAAGCAUGGGGAGCGAACGG
rnacentral:rRNA from 1 species